UUUAAUUCGAAGCAACGCGAAGAACCUUACCAAAUCUUGACAUCCUUUGAAAACUCUAGAGAUAGAGCCUUCCCCUUCGGGGGACAAAGUGACAGGUGGUGCAUGGUUGUCGUCAGCUCGUGUCGUGAGGUGUUGGGUUAAGUCCCGCAACGAGCGCAACCCUUAAACUUAGUUGCCAGCAUUUAGUUGGGCACUCUAGGUUGACUGCCGGUGACAAACCGGAGGAAGGUGGGGAUGACGUCAAAUCAUCAUGCCCCUUAUGAUUUGGGCUACACACGUGCUACAAUGGACAAUACAAAGGGCAGCUAAACCGCGAGGUCAUGCAAAUCCCAUAAAGUUGUUCUCAGUUCGGAUUGUAGUCUGCAACUCGACUACAUGAAGCUGGAAUCGCUAGUAAUCGUAGAUCAGCAUGCUA
rnacentral:rRNA from 1 species